GACGUAGGGCGCGAGCGUUGUCCGGAUUUAUUGGGCGUAAAGAGCUCGUAGGCGGCUUGUUGCGUCGACUGUGAAAACCCGCGGCUUAACCGCGGGCUUGCAGUUGAUACGGGCAGGCUAGAGUUCGGUAGGGGAGACUGGAAUUCCUGGUGUAGCGGUGGAAUGCGCAGAUAUCAGGAGGAACACCGGUGGCGAAGGCGGGUCUCUGGGCAGUAACUGACGCUGAGGAGCGAAAGCGUGGGGAGCGAACAGG
rnacentral:rRNA from 1 species